ensembl:lncRNA
AGGAAAUGGCAACCCACUCCAGUGUUCUUGCCUGAAGAAUCCCAGGGACGGGGGAGCCUGAUGGGCUGCCGUCUAUGUGGUCUCACAGAGUCGGACACGACUGAAGCGACUUAGCAGCAGCAGCAGGCAUCCUCCUCCGGGGGGCACCUGCAGCCCUAGCGAGGCCGAAGCUGAAGGCUUUCAGGGUUCACCCCAUCCCCGCCCACCCGCGUCCCCAAGACGGCGGCACCCUCUCGGUUUCGAAAGGGGAGCUCAGCGCCCACGGGCUGCCCUCUAGACGUUUCCAUUCUCCCGACGUUUAUAUGCUUCAGCGGCCAG